rnacentral:rRNA from 1 species
UAGGGAAUCUUCCACAAUGGACGCAAGUCUGAUGGAGCAACGCCGCGUGAGUGAAGAAGGUCUUCGGAUCGUAAAACUCUGCUGUUAGAGAAGAACACGAGUGAGAGUAACUGUUCAUUCGAUGACGGUAUCUAACCAGCAAGUCACGGCUAACUACGUGCCAG